rnacentral:lncRNA from 1 species
AUGCCGUUCUUGAGGAAAUGCUCCGGAUGGAGGUUUCAUUUGGGGAGUUUGCUUCUGUGCCUACAGACUGGAGGUGCUGGGCCCCUCACCAAGCCUGUGUGGCUGAGCCAGCAGGUCCUCGUCCUCUACCUCAGAGUUUUCUUCAGCUGUCCUAUUGGUGAGGCAUUUUGUCUUUUAGAAAUUUUGUGUCCAGCUAUCACCCUUAACCUUGUAAAAAGCUUGACCAAGACGUCAUGUUACAGCCGUGAGUUCGCACCUUGCCCUUCUUGCUUGGUUUUGCCCUCAGUGAUCUUGGGUUAGCAUAAGCAGAUUCCCCUCUGUUCUGGUACUGGUUGCCUAGUGUCCCUGUGUAUGCACAGACCUGAUUUUUGUUACCUGCUCCCUAUUGCUGAAUAUUUUUUGUUUGCAAAUUUGUGUCAUUUAUUUUAAAAAAAAUGAACUUUUUGUACAUAGAUUGUUGAACUUUUGCAAAUAUAGCAAUAGGGGAAAUGUCUUGAAAUUGCUUGAAAUAUCUUGAAAUUGCUGCCAUACUAGGUUUAAAUGUCAAGUAUUGCCAAAUCGCCUCCUCAAAGGUUGCAUCAGUUUAUGUCCCUCUGUACCACCCGUCCUUGCCCUGAGUAUUAUCAGACUUUACUGAUUGUCAUCUUGGUCCCUGAAACAUCUCUCCUAGUUUCACCUGCACUUUCUAAGUUAGGAGAGUGCAGACACCAUUUUUGUGUUCAUUGGCCGUUGCGCUUUCACUUUGGACAUCUGUCAGUUGAGGUGCUUUGCCCAUUUUUUUAAUUGGGUGGUUUCUUUUCCUUGUUGAUUGGGAUAAGCUUCUUGUAAGUUAAGGACAUGAGCCUUCUGUCUAUCAGAUAUAUUGACUUCGUUCUUAAUUUUUUUUUUCACACUAAAGUUUUAAAAUCCACAGAAGUUUUAAACCUUAAUAUAGCAAAUUUAUCAGUCCUAGAUCACUUCUGGUUUGUGUUUUGCUUAGAAAGCCUCCUUUUGAAGAUUAUAUAUUUCCCUCUAGGACUUCCAUGGUUUACUUUGUUCUGUUUAAACUAGGAACUGGAAUUCAAGCCCCUUUCAUCCCAGGCCUCAGAUGUCUUGCGUAUUUUAUUUUCCUUUGUAUAACUUAAAAACACAGUACUUUUCCCAAAUUAAAUAAUAACUGAUGGCAGCAAAUAAUGGAAGCAUUUCUGCAACUUGUGAUGAACCUCAUUUCUUGGGAUUAAGCAUUUACAAAUUGCAAACUGUUGCUUUUAUUUUCCUGGUUAAUUAAAAUCUAAAUACCACUCAAAGUUCCAUUAAUAUC